rnacentral:rRNA from 1 species
GUGCCAGCAGCCGCGGUAAUACAGAGGGUGCAAGCGUUAAUCGGAAUUACUGGGCGUAAAGCGCACGUAGGCGGUUUCUUAAGUCAGAUGUGAAAGCCCCGGGCUCAACCUGGGAAUUGCAUUUGAAACUGGGGAACUAGAGUGUGUGAGAGGGGGGUAGAAUUCCAAGUGUAGCGGUGAAAUGCGUAGAGAUUUGGAGGAAUACCAGUGGCGAAGGCGGCCCCCUGGCACAACACUGACGCUCAGGUGCGAAAGCGUUGGGAGCAAACAGGAUUAGAUACCCCGGUAGUCC